UUUAAGAUACAAAAAUAUGGCUAAUUUGAGUGGUGAUGAACUUUUAAAACUUUUUACUCAGUAUGCUUUAAAAGAGGGUAGUACGCAUCUACUCUCCAUGACAGGACUUAACAACUUGCUUCAGACUCACUUCUCAAAAGUUAUGGGUUCAUUCACUCUUGCUGAUAUAACCAAAUAUAUGGAGGUUGAUAAAGAAGGGAAAAUCAGCUUUAAUGUUUUUAAGGCACUGAUAAGCAAGAUAAAUGGAUUAUCUGCUCUGAGUGGAUUAACAAAUCUGGUCUCUUAAAAAUCCUACAAAGAGGAAGAACACAGAGGGG